rnacentral:sRNA from 1 species
UCGAACGACGAGCCCGCCGGCCGAGAAGCCGGCGCGAUCGCGAGU